CUAGCCCAGGCCGCAUUCACGCACUUCUCUUCCGUUCUCGACGCCCCUACCGCGCGCGGGUUCACCCUCGACCUGGCGGCCAUUGGCCAGCGCUCCUUCGACCUCUCUGCCUUGGAUCGCUCAUUCUCGUCGGCGGAAAUCUGGGAGGCUAUCAAGCGGCUCCCUUCUGGAAAGGCACCCGGCCCCGACGGAUUCACUGCCGAGUUUCUACGCUCGUGUUGGCACAUAAUCAAAGACGACCUUUGCGACGUCUUCGACAAGCUCUACGCGCUAAAUGGCCACGCCUUCCAGCGGCUCAAUGAGGCAUACAUCACUCUGCUUCCUAAGCGACCCGACGCCGCCUCCCUCUUUGAUUAUCGGCCGAUCAGCCUCAUCCAUCUGAUCGCGAAGCUCUUUGCUAAGGUUCUUUCGCUCCGCUUGGCGCCGCGCCUCGGCGAACUCAUCUCCACCAACCAAAGUGCCUUCAUCUCGGGACGGAGCGUUCAUGAUAACUUCCUCCUCGUCUAG
rnacentral:rRNA from 1 species